AAAUAAGAAGCAAAUAUGCAUUUAAUUUCGACUUAAAAGAAUGAGUUAACCAAUUACUCCUUAUUUA
rnacentral:tRNA from 1 species